rnacentral:rRNA from 1 species
GAUGAACGCUAGCGGCAGGCCUAACACAUGCAAGUCGAGGGGUAACAUUGUAGCUUGCUACAGAUGACGACCGGCGCACGGGUGCGUAACGCGUAUACAAUCUGCCUUUUGCUGAGGGAUAGCCCAGAGAAAUUUGGAUUAAGACCUCAUGGUAUUGUGAUAUCGCAUGGUAUUAUAAUUAAAGGUUACGGCAAAAGAUGAGUAUGCGUCCCAUUAGCUAGAUGGUGUGGUAACGGCACACCAUGGCUACGAUGGGUAGGGGUCCUGAGAGGGAGAUCCCCCACACUGGUACUGAGACACGGACCAGACUCCUACGGGAGGCAGCAGUGAGGAAUAUUGGGCAAUGGACGCAAGUCUGACCCAGCCAUGCCGCGUGCAGGAAGACUGCCCUAUGGGUUGUAAACUGCUUUUUUACGGGAAGAAUAAGGGGUACGUGUACCCUGGUGACGGUACCGUAGGAAUAAGCACCGGCUAACUCCG